rnacentral:rRNA from 1 species
ACGCACGCUGGCGGCAUGCCUAACCCAUGCCAGUCGCACGAGACCUUCGGGUCUAGUGGCGCACGGGUGCGUAACGCGUGGGAACCUGCCCUUAGGUUCGGAAUAACUCCCCGAAAGGGGUGCUAAUACCGGAUAAUGUCUUCGGACCAAAGAUUUAUCGCCUUUGGAUGGGCCCGCGUUGGAUUAGCUAGUUGGUAGGGUAAAAGCCUACCAAGGCGACGAUCCAUAGCUGGUCUGAGAGGAUGAUCAGCCACACUGGGACUGAGACACGGCCCAGACUCCUACGGGAAGCAGCAGUGGGGAAUAUUGGACAAUGGGCGAAAGCCUGAUCCAGCAAUGCCGCGUGAGUGAUGAAGGCCUUAGGGUUGUAAAGCUCUUUUACCCGGGAUGAUAAUGACAGUACCGGGAGAAUAAGCUCCGGCUAACUCCGUG